UGGAAUUCGCCCUUGUGCCAGCCGCCGCGUGUAAUACGUAGGGUGCGAGCGUUGUCCGGAAUUAUUGGGCGUAAAGAGCUUGUAGGCGGUUUGUCGCGUCUGCUGUGAAAAUCCGGGGCUCAACCCCGGACUUGCAGUGGGUACGGGCAGACUAGAGUGUGGUAGGGGAGACUGGAAUUCCUGGUGUAGCGGUGAAAUGCGCAGAUAUCAGGAGGAACACCGAUGGCGAAGGCAGGUCUCUGGGCCACUACUGACGCUGAGAAGCGAAAGCAUGGGGAGCGAACAGGAUUAGAUACCCUGGUAGUCCAUGCCGUAAACGUUGGGAACUAGGUGUGGGUCUCAUUCCACGAGAUCCGUGCCGCAGCUAACGCAUUAAGUUCCCCGCCUGGGGAGUACGGCCGCAAGGCUAAAACUCAAAGGAAUUGACGGGGGCCCGCACAAGCGGCGGAGCAUGCGGAUUAAUUCGAUGCAACGCGAAGAACCUUACCAAGGCUUGACAUACACCGGAAACAUCCAGAGAUGGGUGCCCCGCAAGGUCGGUGUACAGGUGGUGCAUGGUUGUCGUCAGCUCGUGUCGUGAGAUGUUGGGUUAAGUCCCGCAACGAGCGCAACCCUCGUUCUAUGUUGCCAGCGCGUAAAGGCGGGGACUCAUAGGAGACUGCCGGGGUCAACUCGGAGGAAGGUGGGGAUGACGUCAAAUCAUCAUGCCCCUUAUGUCUUGGGCUUCACGCAUGCUACAAUGGCCGGUACAAAGGGCUGCGAUACCGCAAGG
rnacentral:rRNA from 1 species